rnacentral:tRNA from 1 species
AAAAACUUAGUUAAAUUCAUAACAUUAACUUGUCAAGUUAAAAUUACUGAGAGUAGUUUUUA